CCUACGGGGGGCAGCAGUCGAGAAUCAUUCACAAUGGGGGAAACCCUGAUGGUGCGACGCCGCGUGGGGGAAUGAAGGUCUUCGGAUUGUAAACCCCUUUCAUGUGGGAGCAAAUUAAAAAGAUAGUACCACAAGAGGAAGAGACGGCUAACUCUGUUCCAGCAGCCGCGUUAAUACAGAGGUCUCAAGCGUUGUUCGGAAUCACUGGGCGUAAGGGGUGCGUAGGCUGUUUCGUAAGUCGUGUGUGACAGGCGCGGGCUCAACCCCCGGACCGCACAUGAUACUGCGAGACUAGAGUAAUGGAGAGGUAACCGGAAUUCGCGGUGUAGCAGUGAAAGGCGUAGAUAUCGAGAGGAACACUCGUGGCGAAGGCGGGUUCCUGGACAUUAACUGACGCUGAGGCACGAAGGCCAGGGGAGCGAAAGGGAUUAGAUACCCUAGUAGUC
rnacentral:rRNA from 1 species